AACGAACGCUGGCGGCAUGCCUAACACAUGCAAGUCGAACGAGACCUUCGGGUCUAGUGGCGCACGGGUGCGUAACGCGUGGGAACCUGCCCUUAGGUUCGGAAUAACUCCCCGAAAGGGGUGCUAAUACCGGAUAAUGUCUUCGGACCAAAGAUUUAUCGCCUUUGGAUGGGCCCGCGUUGGAUUAGCUAGUUGGUAGGGUAAAAGCCUACCAAGGCGACGAUCCAUAGCUGGUCUGAGAGGAUGAUCAGCCACACUGGGACUGAGACACGGCCCAGACUCCUACGGGGAGCAGCAGUGGGGAAUAUUGGACAAUGGGCGAAAGCCUGAUCCAGCAAUGCCGCGUGAGUGAUGAAGGCCUUAGGGUUGUAAAGCUCUUUUACCCGGGAUGAUAAUGACAGUACCGGGAGAAUAAGCACCGGCUAACUCCGUG
rnacentral:rRNA from 1 species